rnacentral:rRNA from 1 species
UGCCAGCAGCCGCGGUAAUACGUAGGGUGCAAACGUUGUUCGGAAUUACUGGGCAUAAAGAGCUCGUAGGCGGCCGUGCAAGUGUGGAGUGAAAUCCCACGGCUCACCCGUGGAAUUGCUUCGCAGACUGCUCGGCUAGAGGAUGGUAAGGGAGAGCGGAACUCCUGGUGGAGCGGUGAAAUGCGUAGAUAUCAGGAGGAACACCGGUGGCGAAGGCGGCUCUCUGGUCCAUUUCUGACGCUGAGGAGCGAAAGCCAGGGUAGCGAACGGGAUUAGAUA